rnacentral:rRNA from 1 species
CCUACGGGAGGCAGCAGUGGGGAAUAUUGCGCAAUGGGCGAAAGCCUGACGCAGCGACGCCGCGUGAGGGAUGAAGGUCUUCGGAUCGUAAACCUCUGUCAGCAGGGAAGAACGGUCACUGUGCUAAUCAGCAGUGAAUUGACGGUACCUGCAAAGGAAGCACCGGCUAACUCCGUGCCAGCAGCCGCGGUAAUAUGGAGGGUGCGAGCGUUAAUCGGAAUUACUGGGCGUAAGGCGCUCGUAGGCGGUAUGUCAAGUCAAGGGUGAAAUCCCCGCGCUCAACGUGGGAACUGCAUUUGAAACUGGCAAACUGGAGUGUGGGAGAGGAUAGUGGAAUUCCAGGUGUAGGAGUGGAAUCCGUAGAUAUCUGGAGGAACAUCAGUGGCGAAGGCGACUAUCUGGCACAUAACUGACGCUGAGGAGCGAAAGCGUGGGUAGCAAACAGGAUUAGAUACCCCUGUAGUC